ensembl:snoRNA SNORD58 Small nucleolar RNA SNORD58
UUGCUGUGAUGACUAACUUAGGACACCUUUGGAAUAACCAUGAAAAGCUAUUCUGAGCAAC